CAUGUAGGCGGAUUAAUAAGUUUGAAGUGAAAUCCUAUAGCUUAACUAUAGAACUGCUUUGAAACUGUUAAUCUAGAAUGUGGGAGAGGUAGAUGGAAUUUCUGGUGUAGGGGUAAAUCCGUAGAGAUCAGAAGGAAUACCGAUUGCGAAGGCGAUCUACUGGAACAUUAUUGACGCUGAGAUGCGAAAGCGUGGGGAGCAAACA
rnacentral:rRNA from 1 species